UGGGGAAUUUUGGACAAUGGGCGCAAGCCUGAUCCAGCAAUGCCGCGUGCAGGAUGAAGGCCUUCGGGUUGUAAACUGCUUUUGUACGGAACGAAAAGCCUCUCUCUAAUACAGGGGGGUGAUGACGGUACCGUAAGAAUAAGCACCGGCUAACUACGUGCCAGCAGCCGCGGUAAUACGUAGGGUGCAAGCGUUAAUCGGAAUUACUGGGCGUAAAGCGUGCGCAGGCGGUUUUGUAAGACAGUGGUGAAAUCCCCGGGCUCAACCUGGGAACUGCCAUUGUGACUGCAAGGCUGGAGUGCGGCAGAGGGGGAUGGAAUUCCGCGUGUAGCAGUGAAAUGCGUAGAUAUGCGGAGGAACACCGAUGGCGAAGGCAAUCCUCUGGGCCUGCACUGACGCUCAUGCACGAAAGCGUGGGGAGCAAACAGAUUAGAUACCCUGGUAGUCCNCGCCCUAAACGAUGUCAACUGGUUGUUGGGGAUUUAUUUCUUCAGUAACGAAGCUAA
rnacentral:rRNA from 1 species